UCUGUUCAGUACGAGGAGGCAACAUAACGGAUCAUAGAAUCACAAUUAUUCCUUGUAUUUAAGGUGGAAAGAGAACUAAAUGAUUAGAUAUCAGCUUCAGAGAAAAGUCUAGGGGAUUUAUAAACACAUCGGCCACUUUAUUAGGUACGCCGCCAUAGAUCCUUGUGUACCUAAUAUAGUGGCCUGCAUACAGGGAACUAUGGAAGUGUACCUAAUAUAGUGGCCUCUACACAUGGAACUAUGGAAGUGUACCUAAUACAGUGGCCAGUAAUCCAUUAGUUUCAAGGAUGGAUCAAAAGCCAAGAUUAUAGGCAUUGCUGUGGAUUUUACUUUUGUCUUCAGGAUGUAUUUUGUUCACAUUUCAGCUAAAAUACACACAAAAUAUUUUAGUCUUCUGAUUCACUUUAGUUUAUUCCUGCAUGAAAACCCAAUAACCACCUCAAAUAGUCCUAGAUUUUGGUUUGCGUUAGUAUCUGCUGUCAGAUGGUGGUUCUCAGAGUGGCACCAGCUACAGCCAGGGGGUCUGAAAAAUGAUUCACUAUAACUUAUAAAAUUGUGCAGUAUCAUUAUAAAGUGCUUAGACAGAGAAUAAAAGCAAAGGCACGAAACAGAAAAAUAAAAUCCAAAAAGAUGGAGGUGCAGCUGAAAUACUGAAUGAAUAUUAGGCUUAAUUUCUAAUCAGUAUAAAUAGUUUGACAGUGGUAGAGAGUAGAAAGUAGAGAUUAGAAGAAAAACACAAAACCCUUUUAGUCCACGAUAGAAGAAAAGUACCUCACAUAGAAUGGAAUAAACCAGUUUUGGCAGUGACACAAACAAAAAUUAGCAAAAAAUGUAAUUUUUUUCCCUCCACAUUUCCACAUUCAUGAACAAUUCUAAGCAUUUUAUAGGUUUCAAAUAAAUUUAUUUGCAAGUGAAUCGCAUUUAUGCAAAUUUCUGUCUGACAAAGAAACUGCCUAACGUUAAGGUUCUCAUUUUAAUAAACGGAGUAGAGAACUGUGUUGCUCAUUUCUAUUUCACGUGGCUCUCAUGUAUUUUUCCACAGAUGAAUAAUUCCCUCCAAACCAACUAAACAGCUGAUCAGUUCAAUGUUCACGAUAUCAGAAUUUAUUCUGAAAAGGCGUUUUCAUUCCCUCUGUGUGCAUUUACUCUCCUGGAACAAAUAGCAGUAAUCAACACAAUUGGGUUUCCAAUGAAAUUUCUGUGUGAAAUUUCACUAAUUUCAUUAAAUAUGUUUAUGGAAAUGCACCUAAUGUGUCAACUUUUGUGGAAAUGUAGUCUCAGUGUGAUAUUCUUAGUUGAAAUAACGACCAUUAUCAUCAGAAUCAGCUGCACAUUUGCAUAGAUAUUUCACAAUCUUUAACCAGUUUAAGAGUAAAGUCCUGGUUUCCAACUGGAUCAUUUCUAUAUGAAUAUAUUUAAUAAAUGGAACUUCCCUACAGUCCAAACAUACACGUCAGCUCUCUGAGUCCCAUUGACUUCCAUCUAAAGUUCACCAGGUUCAGUCCAGACACAGGAAUCGCAUGAACUCAGAUCCAACAGAUAAAACAGAGGACAGUCAUCAUCACAACACCAGAAAAAUAAAAAUAGGCACUGUUUCCAGAAUACACAACAGUUCAGACUUUAUUUUCAUUGAGUUUGUCCUCUCAAAUCUCCCUCUGUUUAUGCAGUUUUUUCAAAGACAGUAAUUCAGUGUCCAAAUAUUCCAAUAGUGGAUGUUAAUGCUGCAGUGAUCUGUUUUUCUGACACAUUUAGGGCCAUGUGACGACAAAUAAUGAUCCUAAAAACAGAAAAACAUCUGGCUCUUUCACUACUAAUUGCAGGUGAAGUAGAAUAAUUAAUACUUUUUCCUGUUAUGGCUAAAACGACUUUAAUAAGAGAAAAUUCCUCAGAUUGGAAACUGAAAUGUUUAACAAAAAAAAAAAAAGCAAUUUUCUUUGUGAGUUUGUCGCUUUAAAUAACACAAGUGAGUCAUUUGAGGUUUUAUUCAUGUAAAAUGUCAGGUUAGUGCAGCUUUAAGUCCAGAUAUUACAGUCAGAUGAUUAAAAAAAAAAAAAAAAAAACCUCAAACACGUGGCCCGUGGGU